UAACCACAAACUACUUUCGUCUCGAACGAGACAAAGAGUUGAAUUACAAAGCAUUUCCCCCAUUCAUUCCACCUCCAGCAUCGACAAUUACCGUUUUCGGAAUCUGAAACCGAGAAACCGUAUACUUAUCCAACGAGUCCGAGUGUUAAAACCGUCCGCUGGAAACCUGUCCUCUAGAAAGUAACGAUACUCGUGCGUAAAACAGCGAUCAUCACCAUCAUCACGGUUAUCGGGCCGAUCAUGAGAGGGGAAAAGUAUUUCGGCGUAUUAUCGUCCGUUCGUUGAAACAAUUUGAAACGCCUAAUCACGAUCGCUCUCCUUCUCGUCCGGCACGAAUCGGUCAAACCUCUAAUUCAAUAAAAAUUUAAUAGCGGUGGAUGAUGAGUGGGGCGAGAGCGGGUACACGCUCGAUCAGACGAGCCACGAUGGAAGAAAGAGGGAAAGAAAGCGAAGCUCUUUCUGAUCCUCGUAGCCGGCGGCCAGCAUCAUCGUGGUACGUAUCCCCCGAUCGGUCAUUUAACGGAGGCCGUCGUACACGCGUAAGUUCGAAAUCAAGGGCCCAUUCAUUCCUAUUCCCCGUCGACGCUCAAUUAAGUCAGGUAAACAAUGAGAAGAAGAGGGGGGGGGGAACCAGCCCGUUUCGACCACCGAACUCUCUCUCUCUCUUCUCUCUCUCUCUCUGGCUUUUACCUUCCUUCUCCUUUUUUUUUUUUUUUCCCUCUUAAUUUACGACGCCACCGAAGCGGCCUCGAUAAUCAGGACCACGUCGUUGGAAUAGCAACCCUCCCCCUCUCUCGCGACUUUCUUUUUUUUUUCUUAACCUGCCGGAUUAGCAGCGAUAUCGGCCAAUGCAUGCACGCUGUCGUCCUGCACGUUCCGCGCCAAGAUGGAACCCGCCGGGGUUGGAAGAAGGAGGGAAGGAAGAGACGAAGGGGGAGGGGCGAGAAAGAGAGCAGAGCGGAGGGAGAACGGUUUAUGCGUUUCUUUCGUCGCGGGGUUUCGUUUGCAAUAAUUUAUGCGGGGAGACAGCUUGAGAAAUGACCGUUGGCUCCUUGUGCAACCUUAAUUUGCAACAGUUUACUUCGGCUACGUUUCGAGGGACGGUCGUUAGAGAGAGAGAGAGAGAGAGAUAUGGAUGUUAUGGGUGCCGAUCGCAUAAAGACAUUUAUCGCGGAUCGAGCAUCGAUGAGGACCGAGGGGGGGGAAAGAAAAGAAAAAGGAAGGACUCCUCUUUGGCCCCGGACUAACUGGUAUAAUUAGCGAUACAGUGUUGUCCGUGGAGGCCGUGUGGGCGAGGGGGCCGACAGAGAGAAGAGCGGCGGCGACUUGUGGCCGCUUAUCGCUAACGUUGGAAUGCAUUGUGGCCGGGUGCUACGUAAAAUAUGGACGAGGUGAAAAAUAA